GGGGGGGUGGCUGAAUGUGAAGCUGUGGGUUGUAGUUCCAUUGAUAGAGGUUAGAUUCCUCUCCCCUCCA
rnacentral:tRNA from 1 species